rnacentral:rRNA from 1 species
UGGACCCGUGAUCCGGGUUGCGGACAGUGUCUGGUGGGUAGUUUGACUGGGGCGGUCUCCUCCUAAAGAGUAACGGAGGAGCACGAAGGUUGGCUAAUCCUGGUCGGACAUCAGGAGGUUAGUGCAAUGGCAUAAGCCAGCUUGACUGCGAGCGUGACGGCGCGAGCAGGUGCGAAAGCAGGUCAUAGUGAUCCGGUGGUUCUGAAUGGAAGGGCCAUCGCUCAACGGAUAAAAGGUACUCCGGGGAUAACAGGCUGAUACCGCCCAAGAGUUCAUAUCGACGGCGGUGUUUGGCACCUCGAUGUCGGCUCAUCACAUCCUGGGGCUGAAGUAGGUCCCAAGGGUAUGGCUGUUCGCCAUUUAAAGUGGUACGCGAGCUGGGUUUAGAACGUCGUGAGACAGUUCGGUCCCUAUCUGCCGUGGGCGCUGGAGAACUGAGGGGGGCUGCUCCUAGUACGAGAGGACCGGAGUGGACGCAUCACUGGUGUUCGGGUUGUCAUGCCAAUGGCACUGCCCGGUAGCUAAAUGCGGAAGAGAUAAGUGCUGAAAGCAUCUAAGCACGAAACUUGCCCCGAGAUGAGUUCUCCCUGACCCUUUAAGGGUCCUGAAGGAACGUUGAAGACGACGACGUUGAUAGGCCGGGUGUGUAAGCGCAGCGAUGCGUUGAGCUAACCGGUACUAAUGAACCGUGAGGCUUAACCUU